CUGUGCCUAUGUCUGUGCAUCUCUUGUCUGCCUCCUGUGGAUAGAUUCCAGAAGAAGUGGGGAUCCUCUGGAACUGGAGUUGCAGAUGGCUGUGAGCCACCAUAUGAGGGAUGCAAUGCUAAUUUGGAGCCUAGAAACCCAAUGAGAUAAGGGACAUCCAUGAAGUCCAAGAUGAGGAUUCCAAUUUCAGAGCCUAUGAUGAUUUAAAAAGGAAUGCAGGGCCUCAUCUUGUCUAUUUAGCUUAAUGGCUGUUGAGCUUCAUAAAUACACUGCUUAUGGAAGAAAUCAAAAUUGUCAUCCGUUUAUGCUAAAAUGGGAUGUUCUUGAUACAGAAAGCUG